rnacentral:rRNA from 1 species
UACGAAGGGGGCUAGCGUUGUUCGGAUUUACUGGGCGUAAAGCGCACGUAGGCGGAUUGUUAAGUCAGGGGUGAAAUCCUGGAGCUCAACUCCAGAACUGCCUUUGAUACUGGCAAUCUAGAGUCCGGAAGAGGUGAGUGGAACUCCUAGUGUAGAGGUGGAAUUCGUAGAUAUUAGGAAGAACACCAGUGGCGAAGGCGGACUCACUGGUCCGGUACUGACGCUGAGGUGCGGAAAGCGUGGGGAUCAAACAGGG